GUGCUUGCUUUGGCAGCACAAGAACUAAAAUUGGAAUAAUACAGAGAAGAGUAGCAUGACCCCUGUGCAAGAAUGACACACAAAUUUGAAAAUAGGGAAACAAUUCAU